rnacentral:rRNA from 1 species
UACGAAGGGGGCUAGCGUUGCUCGGAAUCACUGGGCGUAAAGCGCACGUAGGCGGCUUUUUAAGUCAGGGGUGAAAUCCUGGAGCUCAACUCCAGAACUGCCUUUGAUACUGAGAAGCUUGAGUCCGGGAGAGGUGAGUGGAACUGCGAGUGUAGAGGUGAAAUUCGUAGAUAUUCGCAAGAACACCAGUGGCGAAGGCGGGUCACUGGCCCGAUACUGACGCUGAGGUGCGAAAGCGUGGGGAGCAAACAGG